rnacentral:sRNA from 1 species
GCCGGGUGCACUGGUGCACACCUGUAAUCCCAGUAGCCUGGGAGGCUGAGACAGGAGGAUUUUGAGUUCAUAGCCAGUCUCAGCAACGGUGAGGUACUAAGCAACUCAGACCCUGUCUCUA